rnacentral:rRNA from 1 species
UGGGGAAUUUUGGACAAUGGACGCAAGUCUUAUCCAUCCAUUCCUCUUUCUGUCAUAAUUCCUUCUUUUUUUAAACCUCUUUUUUCAUUUCAUCAACUAUUUUCUCUAAUACAUAUACUUAAUUACUUUCCCUUAAUAAUAAUCACCUGCUAACUACUUUCCAGCAGCCGCGGUAAUACGUAGGGUGCAAGCGUUAAUCGGAAUUACUGGGCGUAAAGCGUGCGCAGGCGGUUAUGCAAGACAGAGGUGAAAUCCCCGGGCUCAACCUGGGAACUGCCUUUGUGACUGCAUAGCUAGAGUACGGUAGAGGGGGAUGGAAUUCCGCGUGUAGCAGUGAAAUGCGUAGAUAUGCGGAGGAACACCGAUGGCGAAGGCAAUCCCCUGGACCUGUACUGACGCUCAUGCACGAAAGCGUGGGGAGCAAACA